UCAAGGCUGUCAAGCUGAUCUGCCUAUUGAUUCAGAUCCAGGAACCAACCACUCCAGCUACGCUGUUUCUUUUUGUGCAGCUUGGCAGCAGUGAGGAAUCUAAGCAUCAGUGUAACCAUGCCUGGCUUCAGAGCAAGGCUCAGCAAGGAUCUGGAAGGACCAAACCACCUGAGACAUGUGCACCACACGGAGCAGUGAGCUGGAGCUGUGUGAGAGCAUUCCCACUGCCCAUGCUUGCCUGCAAGGGAAACACUGGAGUUUGCUCAGGAUUGUGUUGGUCUCAUAACUCCAUAGGUGAUAAAUGAGGUACUGUUGGAAAGAGCAAUACCUUUGGAAAGCUACUGGGCACAAGUUCAGAAGCUAAGCAAGAACCUUCCAGCUCAAGUUUUGCAGCUGGUAAACUGCUGUUCUCCCACUGUACACAGGGAUGCCCACUCCUCUCUGUGGUACUCCCUCACAAAUCUUUACUCAGCUGCAGCUGGGACACUUGCAAUUCAAUCCGGCAGAUAUCUAGCCACCCAUGAGUCCCUCUGGAAUUGCUGCAAUUAGCUGAAGAAAAAAUGCAACCAUUGUCAGACUUUGCAGUAAUACAGAGGUAAGGAUGCAUGAGAAACUCCUACCAUGCAAGUACUUCUGCACAGAGGAGAUUCCAGCAAACCUUUAGGAGGGCUAGUGAUCAUGCUAAUCUCCAGCACAACUUGAGGCCUGAGAGCCUCACCUCUGUGCCUUGUCAGAAAUGCAUUGUUUCUCAAAAGGCCAUGCCACAGCUGCCCUGGUAUGUCUAUCCCAAACACAAACCAUAGAAAAAGGCAGCAGCUCAUAUCACACAACAGGGUAAAUAUACUGACUCUGGAUUUACACUGGUAAAUAAGGAUCUGAAUGUAUUUCUAGCAAUGCUUUUAUCUUUUCCAGGACCAGCAUCUUUUUCACCUAGAAAGCCCUUUUCUAUGUUGUUUUUUAAAUACUCUGGAUUCUUGGAGGGCUGGAUCAAGUGUUUGCUGUGGUUUCAAAAAACUUUUUACUGCGUUGUGCAUGGAAAAGUGUGGAACUAAAGGCUUGAAUUGCUUUAGGAUGAGCACACAACCUGCUUUCAUAAAACCUAUUCCUAAGAAGAAAUAAUGAAAUUAUUGUGGAUCCUGCUCAUUACAGGCUUAACUACAUCUCGAACACAUUACCACGACAGCGAUGAAACUCAGCCUCGCCUUGUCUGGGAUCAAGAACUGUACGUAGCUGGGAUGCUGGGAUAGAUGAGCCCCACAGAAGAGGAAGCCGAGGGACCUUACCGUGGUGCUACUGCUGCGCAAAUCCCCUGCUGGGGCAAGGAACUCUGGGAAGCCACCUUGUCUCUGGGAAAAAAAUACAUCCCAAACCUCAACAGGUCGCGCCACCAGCCCAGCAGGUUGUGCCUGGGUUUCGGCUGGAGAACAGGCUCCAGGUCUCUCCUAACAGGAUGGAGGUUCCCCCCCGCGGUGUCGCUCUCCAGCGCCUUCCAAGCCCACUCCGCGACACCCGGGUCCCGCAGCAUCCCAAGCUCCCCGGGAUAGCUUCACAAAGGAAAGAUUGCAAACUCCCCUUUCCCGCCACGCUUCCCCCAAGCCCCGUUUCCCAGGAGCAACAGGCGGGCCCGGCAGCCCCGUGUCCCGGACUCACCGCCGAGAGCAGCGCCCCAGCGCAGGCAGAGGCACACGGCGGCCAGCAACGCCUUCCUCCACAUCUCGCC